GUCGAACGAUGAAGCCCAGCUUGCUGGGUGGAUUAGUGGCGAACGGGUGAGUAACACGUGAGUAACCUGCCCUUAACUCUGGGAUAAGCCUGGGAAACUGGGUCUAAUACCGGAUAGGAGCGCCUACCGCAUGGUGGGUGUUGGAAAGAUUUAUCGGUUUUGGAUGGACUCGCGGCCUAUCAGCUUGUUGGUGAGGUAAUGGCUCACCAAGGCGACGACGGGUAGCCGGCCUGAGAGGGUGACCGGCCACACUGGGACUGAGACACGGCCCAGACUCCUACGGGAGGCAGCAGUGGGGAAUAUUGCACAAUGGGCGCAAGCCUGAUGCAGCGACGCCGCGUGAGGGAUGACGGCCUUCGGGUUGUAAACCUCUUUCAGUAGGGAAGAAGCGAAAGUGACGGUACCUGCAGAAGAAGCACCGGCUAACUACGUGCCAGCAGCCGCGGUAAUACGUAGGGUGCGAGCGUUAUCCGGAAUUAUUGGGCGUAAAGAGCUCGUAGGCGGUUUGUCGCGUCUGUCGUGAAAGUCCGGGGCUUAACCCCGGAUCUGCGGUGGGUACGGGCAGACUAGAGUGCAGUAGGGGAGACUGGAAUUCCUGGUGUAGCGGUGGAAUGCGCAGAUAUCAGGAGGAACACCGAUGGCGAAGGCAGGUCUCUGGGCUGUAACUGACGCUGAGGAGC
rnacentral:rRNA from 1 species